rnacentral:rRNA from 1 species
GAUGAACGCUGGCGGCGUGCCUAAUACAUGCAAGUCGAGCGAACAGACGAGGAGCUUGCUCCUCUGACGUUAGCGGCGGACGGGUGAGUAACACGUGAAUAACCUACCUAUAAGACUGGGAUAACUUCGGGAAACCGGAGCUAAUACCGGAUAAUAUAUUGAACCGCAUGGUUCAAUAGUGAAAGACGGUUUUGCUGUCACUUAUAUAUGGAUCCGCGCCGCAGUAGCUAGUUGGUAAGGUAACGGCUUACCAAGGCAACGAUGCGUAGCCGACCUGAGAGGGUGAUCGGCCACACUGGAACUGAGACACGGUCCAGACUCCUACGGGAGGCAGCAGUAGGGAAUCUUCCGCAAUGGGCGAAAGCCUGACGGAGCAACGCCGCGUGAGUGAUGAAGGUCUUCGGAUCGUAAAACUCUGUUAUUAGGGAAGAACAAAUGUGUAAGUAACUAUGCACGUCUUGACGGUACCUAAUCAGAAAGCCACGGCUAACUACGUGCCAGCCGCCGCGGUAA